GCCAGCAGCUAUAUCACCCUGCAAAUCACAACUGGCAACCCACUGAAGCUAAGCAGGUGUGAGCCUGGCCAGUUCCCGGACGGUAGACCUCCUGGAAAAGCUAAGGUUACUGCUGGAA
rnacentral:rRNA from 1 species